rnacentral:tRNA from 1 species
AGGGGCGUCGCCAAGAGGCCCAAGGCACCAGGUUUUGGAUCCUGGCAUUCGUAGGUUCGAAUCCUACCGCCCCUGCCA